rnacentral:Y_RNA from 1 species
GGCUGACCCAAAGGUAGUAGUGAGUUAUCUCACUUGAUUGUUCACAGUCACAUAUCUAACUCCUUGUUCUACUCUUUCCCCUCUUCUCACUACCGUACUUGACUAGUCUUAA